CCACAAGCAGUGAGGCCGAACUCCCCCUUGUGAGCUCGUUGGCCCAAUCUCAUCCAGAGUUGCAGACCUCUUACGAUUAUGCCUCCAUUGCUCGUCUCAUCUCCUCCAGUCGCUGCCAACACAGAACACAGCGGCCUACGCGGCGGCGGCGGCGGUGCGCGUAGCCUCGUAGCGGCAGGACCAGGCAAACAGGCGGGGCCGCAGCCCGCAGGGACGUGCGGCGUGCCGGCACCGGUGGUAGGACCACUGGACCAGCCGUCCAGACGGGGCAGUGUAGUGCGGGGCUUCGGGUGCGAGCUGUGGGCAGGGCCGCACUACGAGGGCGCACGGCGCACGAGCACAGCGACAACAGGCAGCACGUCGCACGCGAUAGGCAGGCAGGUGGCAACCAGCUAUUCUAGAGCCGGAAGAUUGUAGAACCUUUGAACAAUGAAGAAGAAAAUGAUGGAUUUGGAAUGUUUGUGGGAAAGAACGGGUAAGGCACAAAAGAAUAGGCUGCUCCAGAAGGAUCUUUUGUUCUGCUACAUGGUUGUGCUCACAACCCAACUGGAAUAGACCCAACUCCUGAGCAGUGGGAGAAAAUUGCAGAUGUCAUUUAAGGGAAAAAACAUAUGCCUUUCUUUGAUGUUGCAUACCAGGGUUUUUGCCGGUGGAAGCCUUGAUGAAGAUGCAUUUUCCGUCAGACUUUUUGUUAAGCGUGGAAUGGAAGUGUUUGUUGCACAGUCUUACAGCAAGAACCUUGGUCAAUAUGCAGAAAGGAUUGGGGCAAUAAAUGUCUUCUGCUCAGCACCAGAAGUAGCGGAUAUGUAAUCUUUCGUUCAUACUGAUUGCCUGCCUACACAAUAUUUUUCCAUUUCAUUCAGUUGCAGCAAAUGCUUAGGCAAGCUUUCUAGGCACUCCAUUUAUCACUAUAUGUCCUUUGUUGUUAAUGAUACUCCCCUCCAUUUCAAAAUGCAGGGCUUAUUAGGAUUAAAAAAAUCAAGCUUUGUAAAUUUUGACGAACAAUUAGUGAAAUUAUACACAUGUUUUAUGUAAAAAAGAUGUAUCAAAAGAUUCCUAUUUCACAUAUAUUUUUUAAUAAGAUAUUGGUUUUAUAGAAACUGAUAAUAUUGUAAGAGAAAUUAAUGGUCAAAGUAUAGUUUGAAAGACUUUUUUAAAUCCUAAUAUUCCCAAUAAAAAGAAAUGGAGGGAGUAACAAUUAAUAAUCAAUGUUUCAGUAAUUGCUUUAUAUGCAAGAAUCUGUAGACAACUUGAUGAAAAUAAUAAUAUUCCUUUUAUGGGUAUUAUUCCUUAUAGUUAGGUUAACUGAUUAAUCAUAUUGUUUAUUUUUCCUUCUAUUUGUAGUUCUUGUGGAGGAGGUGAGAGUCAUACCAAAUCUAAGUGCAGUAUUUUUUGGCAAUGAUUAUGUGUUCAUGGUGAUAUUAGCAAAUAGCACUACCGGUAGCCAUGACUAUUUGGCUAUAUAAUAAUUAUUUUUGUGUUUAUGGCACUGAUAUAUCAGUUGUAGUGUAUAAUGUAUGAAACACAUUUAUGUUCAAGCUACGAUGUUA